GGUAAUGGCUAUUCAUUAUCAAUGCUUCAAGUCAAUAAACUUGAAUGUGUAAUGAUAUCUGGCAGUCACUUUUUUCUGUCGAUAGUUUCAGUUGCUCAGAUUUGUUGUUUAAAUAUUCUGGUAGAUAUGUUUAGAUAUAUACGGUUAGAUAAUGUACUCUUAUGUUAUGUGUUUUGUGGUGGGGGUUUCUGGACAAUAUGCAAAUAUUUCCU